AGUGGCGGACGGGCGAGUAACGCGUGAGCAACCUGCCUUGUACUGGGGGAUAACGUCGGGAAACCGGCGCUAAUACCGCAUAACACUACGAAAUCGCAUGGUUUUGUAGUCAAAGCUCCGGCGGUACAAGAUGGGCUCGCGUCCGAUUAGCUAGUUGGUAGGGUAACGGCCUACCAAGGCGACGAUCGGUAGCCGAACUGAGAGGUUGAUCGGCCACAUUGGGACUGAGACACGGCCCAGACUCCUACGGGAGGCAGCAGUGGGGAAUAUUGCGCAAUGGGGGAAACCCUGACGCAGCAACGCCGCGUGAAGGAAGAAGGCCUUCGGGUUGUAAACUUCUUUGAUUGGGGACGAAGAAAGUGACUGUACCCAAAAAACAAGCCACGGCUAACUACGUGCCAGCAGCCGCGGUAAUACGUAGGUGGCAAGCGUUGUCCGGAAUUACUGGGUGUAAAGGGCGUGUAGGCGGGGAUGCAAGUCAGAUGUGAAAUUCCGGGGCUUAACCCCGGCGCUGCAUCUGAAACUGUAUCUCUUGAGUGCUGGAGAGGAAAGCGGAAUU
rnacentral:rRNA from 1 species